UGUAAGGUAAGUUAAUUUAAACUGUUGGGCUCAUGACUCAAAUAUAAAGACGAAAAUUCUUUCUUUACCC
rnacentral:tRNA from 1 species